UAUCUCUGUAGAGUCUGCAUAUCAAUAAGCGGAGGAAAAGAAACUAACUAGGAUUCCCUCAGUAACGGCGAGUGAAGCGGGAAGAGCUCAAAUUUGAAAUCUUCAAGGUUCUACCUUGACGAAUUGUAGUUUAAAGAAGUGUUUUCUGUUGGAGUUUUGGUAAAAGUUCUUUGGAAUAGGACAUCAUAGAGGGUGAGAAUCCCGUAUUUGACCAUUAUUUCCAGCUUUGUGAUACACUUUCAAAGAGUCGGAUUGUUUGGGAAUGCAGUCCAAAAUGGGUGGUAAACUUCAUCUAAAGCUAAAUACUGGCGAGAGACCGAUAGCGAACAAGUACCGUGAGGGAAAGAUGAAAAGAACUUUGAAAAGAGAGUUAAACAGUACGUGAAAUUGUCAAAAGGGAAGCGUUUGACACCAGUGUUGUUUUCUCGAAAAUCAAUUAAAAAAGGCAGGAUUUUGUGUUGUAUUGACUUUAUCAGCUUUCUGCACUCUUUUCUUGUCUUUUUUAAUGCACUUUUCGUUUAACAAGUCAACAUCAAUUUCUUUUGUUGUAAAAGGGUCAUUGGAAGGUGGCUUUCUUUUCGGAGAAAGUGUUUAUAGCCUUUGGCCUCUGCAAUCGGAGAGAUUGAGGUCUGCAGCGUAGAUCCUUCGGGGUUAGAUACAUUUGUGCUAAGUUAUAGCCUUUCAUAGACAACUUGUUGACUAUCGAUCAGUCAUGUAGCUUACUCGCUUAUGCUAUUUUACCUACGCUUAGGAUGUUGAAGAUGUAGCACAUCAU
rnacentral:rRNA from 1 species